GAAUCUGGAGACAGGUGCUGCAUGGCUGUCGUCAGCUCGUGUCGUGAGAUGUUGGGUUAAGUCCCGCAACGAGCGCAACCCUUGCCUUAGUUGCCAGCAGUUCGGCUGGGCACUCUAAAGGGACUGCCGGUGUUAAACCGGAGGAAGGUGGGGAUGACGUCAAGUCCUCAUGGCCUUUAUGACCAGGGCUACACACGUACUACAAUGGCCGAUACAAAGGGCAGCGACACUGCGAGGUGAAGCCAAUCCCGUAAAAUCGGUCUCAGUCCGGAUUGGAGUCUGCAACUCGACUCCAUGAAGUUGGAAUCGCUAGUAAUCGUGGAUCAGCAUGCCACGGUGAAUACGUUCCCGGGCCUU
rnacentral:rRNA from 1 species